GAUGAACGCUGGCGGCGUGCCUAAUACAUGCAAGUCGAGCGAACGGACGAGAAGCUUGCUUCUCUGAUGUUAGCGGCGGACGGGUGAGUAACACGUGGAUAACCUACCUAUAAGACUGGGAUAACUUCGGGAAACCGGAGCUAAUACCGGAUGAUAUUUUGAACCGCAUGGUUCAAAAGUGAAAGACGGUCUUGCUGUCACUUAUAGAUGGAUCCGCGCUGCAUUAGCUAGUUGGUAAGGUAACGGCUUACCAAGGCAACGAUGCGUAGCCGACCUGAGAGGGUGAUCGGCCACACUGGAACUGAGACACGGUCCAGACUCCUACGGGAGGCAGCAGUAGGGAAUCUUCCGCAAUGGGCGAAAGCCUGACGGAGCAACGCCGCGUGAGUGAUGAAGGUCUUCGGAUCGUAAAACUCUGUUAUUAGGGAAGAACAUAUGUGUAAGUAACUGUGCACAUCUUGACGGUACCUAAUCAGAAAGCCACGGAUAACUACGUG
rnacentral:rRNA from 1 species